rnacentral:rRNA from 1 species
GGAAGGAUCAUUAGUGAUUGUAAAUUGUCUUACCUUCAGUGCUGGCUUUUUCUCUUAGCAUGUGCACGCUGGGAGGGCAUAUUUAUCCAUCCAAUACCCUUUUGUGAACCUCUGGCCUUUACCGGCUUCGGCUGGUGGAGGAAUUUUACACCCUCACGAAUGUAAUGAGAUAAACCUUGUUGUGCAAUAGCACUACAAAAAAAUACAACUUUCAACAACGGAUCUCUUGGCUCUCGCAUCGAUGAAGAACGCAGCGAAAUGCGAUAAGUAAUGUGAAUUGCAGAAUUCAGUGAAUCAUCGAAUCUUUGAACGCACCUUGCACCCUUUGGUAUUCCGAAGGGUAUGCUCGUUUGAGUGUCAUUAUACUCUCACACUUGCCCUAAUUGCUGAUUAGAGCGAGCGGUGGACUUGGGUGCUUGCCUGGACGGAACUUACUGUCAGGCUCAUCUGAAAUGCAUUAGUACGACUGCUAGUUGGACAUAGUACGGCGUGAUAACAUAACCCUCGCUGUUUUAGGUCUGAUUAGGAGCCUGUGCUUCCAACCGUCUUCGGACACUAGCUGAUAACUUGACCUCAAAUCGAGUAGGACUACCCGCUGAACUUAAGCAUAUCAAUAAGCGGAGGAAAAGAAACUAACAAGGAUUCCCCUAGUAACGGCGAGUGAAGAGGGAAAAGCUCAAAUUUUGAAUCUGGCACCCCCGGUGUCCGAGUUGUAAUCUAGAGAAGUGUUUUCCGUGGCGGACCGUGCACAAGUCUUCUGGAAUGGAG